rnacentral:rRNA from 1 species
UACGGAGGGUGCAAGCGUUAUCCGGAUUCACUGGGUUUAAAGGGUGCGUAGGCGGGCUAAUAAGUCAGUGGUGAAAGCUCCCGGCCCAACCGGGAAAUUGCCAUUGAUACUGUUAGCCUUGAGUGCAGUUGAGGUGGGCGGAAUACAGCAUGUAGCGGUGAAAUGCUUAGAUAUGCUGUAGAACACCGAUUGCGAAGGCAGCUCACUAAACUGUAACUGACGCUGAGGCACGAAAGCGUGGGGAUCGAACAGG